GUAAAAUUUAUGUUUGAUAUCUUUAUUACGUUAGGAAUCUGGGAUUAAGUUUAGAUAUGAUGAAACAAAGAGAAGGGUAUCUGACAACAUCAUGGACCAGUGGAUCGUGUCGUUUACCCAGAGUUUAGUGCUAUUUGUGAAAAAUGAGAUGGCAGCUUACAGGUUGUAUACAGUGUUGCCUCGCCUGGUGAAGUUUGUUGACCAGUUGACUAACUGGUAUGUACGUAUGAACAGGAAAAGA